rnacentral:rRNA from 1 species
GACGUAGGGCGCGAGCGUUGUCCGGAUUUAUUGGGCGUAAAGAGCUCGUAGGCGGCUUGUUGCGUCGACCGUGAAAACCCGCGGCUUAACUGUGGGCUUGCGGUCGAUACGGGCGGGCUGGAGUUCGGUAGGGGAGACUGGAAUUCCUGGUGUAGCGGUGAAAUGCGUAGAGAUCCGGAGGAACACCAGUGGCGAAGGCGACACGCUGGGCCGUACCUGACACUGAUGCGCGACAGCAUGGGGAGCAAACAGG